GUAAGCUUCCAAGACUGGCGGACAUAUGGGUUUAACCAUAAGGGAUUGGAAGAGUUCAAACGUCGACCGCCUGGGCAGUAUAA
rnacentral:ncRNA from 2 species